CCCAUUGGACAUGUGUAGUGGGAAGUGUCGCGACUUAUUUCCCCGAGGAGGUAUUUCUCGCAUACACCUGGAAGCCACAUUGUCAUCCGUGAAGGGAGUCGGCUCUUAUAUUUUUGUGUUUUUUGAAGCGAAUUAUCCGUUGCCGAGGGAGCCAUGCAUCUAGAAACGGCUGGGGAAGGAGACGGUGGCUGAGUGGUUAGCGUGCCGGUCCUGCGUUCGCUGCGUCAUGGAUGAUGAGGGUUUGAAUCUGCCGCUGCCACAGACUACUUGUCCUGAAGACCACCACCAUCAUCCCGGACUGUAUGGGACUGUCCAAGGGAAAGCAAGAUGGGGCUGCUAUAAACACUUGCCGGCUUGGGCCCCCCACCAGGCCCAGCCAAGGGAGGUUGGUGUAGCAGUGCUGGGAGGUUCCAUAACACAGGGCACUCCUCACCUCAACAACAGUCUCUUCACCGACAAGUAAUUCUUCACCAACAAGCUUUUCAGCAGCUUGGAGAAAUAGAGACAAGAGGAGGAGGAGGAAGAAGAGGAGGAGGAGGAGGACUUUGAAGACUGACAGACAGACAUCAUUCCAGUCCAGUGGUGAGUUAAGUCAUUUUCCUUCCCUUCCUUCCUUCCUUCCUUCCUUCCUUCCUUCCUUCCUUCC